GCCAAUGCAUGCUUUUACAGUAUGAAAAUUGGUGAUUUAUAAUAACUUAGCAAAUCGCAAAGUGAAAACAGGCGAUAAAUCAUUCAAGUUUCUGACCUAUCAGCUUUCGACGGUAUGGUAUUGGCUUACCGUGGCAGUGACGGUUAACGGGGGAUUAGGGUUCGAUUCCGGAGAGGGAGCCUGAGAAACGGCUACCACAUCUAAGGAAGGCAGCAGGCGCGCAAAUUACCCAAUUCUAACAGUUUGAGAGAGGUAGUAACAAGAAAUAACAAUACAAGGCAGUUAAAAUGCUUUGUAAUUGGAAUGAUAGAAAUUUAAACCCUUUUUAAAGUAUCAAUUGGAGGGCAAGUCUGGUGCCAGCAGCCGCGGUAAUUCCAGCUCCAAUAGCGUAUAUUAAAAUUGUUGCAGUUAAAAAGCUCGUAGUUGAAGUUCUGCUAAAAGUAACCGGUCUGCUUUGAAUAAAAGUGGUAUCUUGGUAUGUAUUUAGCAAUGAUGUCCUUUGAAGUGUUUUUUACUUUAUUGUAAUAAAGCAUAUUCAGGACUUUUACUUUGAGAAAAUUAGAGUGUUUCUAGCAGGCCAACGCUUUGAAUACUGCAGCAUGGAAUAAUA
rnacentral:rRNA from 1 species